GAGGGAAGGGGAAGAAAGAUGGAAAUAUCACACAUGAGCUUUCUAGGUGCUGGAACCACGUAGGAGCCAUGCACUGAGUAGAAGCAUCCCCAAGUUGGGAUGUAUGGUACAUCCUUUGUCCUGAGAGAGAAGGUGUGGAGUGGACGGACGGAAGAUCGGUGGGCACAUCGUGAGCUGCAUCUGGUAAGGGUACGAAGUCUGUCUCGGCCACACGGGAGCAAUCAAAAUUAUGUAAGCUCCGUCCCUCUUUAUUUUUAGCACCUUCAGCAGAAGAGGAAAUGGAGGGAAGACAUAAAGAAGGCCCUUGUCCCAUGGGAGGAGGAGAGCAUCGCCCAGAGAAUGCUGUCCGAUACCCACCCUGGAACAGUAACGUGGACACUUCUUGUUCUGGACCUUUAUAUGUGAUCGUGUUACCAGCAAGAGGAAAUUGGCACAAGUGUUCCUGACUGCUCUCAGCUCGAGGAGAUUGAUGUGCAGGGAGAUUUCUGCAAGUGACCAUUUUACUUGGGUUGUGAGACUGUUUAAAUGCACACUCCCAUCCUAUAAGGGAUGCAUCUGUGGUAAGGAGUGACGAAGGUGGCACCUGUAAGAAGGGGAUCCCUUUGCAUGCAUUGGCCGGUUUCUUCCACGAGUCCAGGGAGUUCUUGAUUCUGGUAGGUAGUGACAGGGCUUUGUUCAGACUGUCCCUGUUCUGUAAACUGAGC